UAUUAAUAAGCGGAGGAAAAGAAACUAACAAGGAUUCCCUUAGUAACGGCGAGCGAAAAGGGAAGAGCCCAGCGCCGAAUCUUGUGUCCCCCGGAUGCAAAGACAUGUGGCGUUUGGGACGAGACAUUGCCUGUGCAGAAUGGUUAACUAAGUCCCUCUUGAACGGGGCCAUAGCCCAUGGAGGGUGCUAGGCCCGUAUGUUAACUGUAGUGUGCAGUGCGUCUCGUCCGUAGAGUCGGGUUGCUUGGGAGUGCAGCCCAAAUACGGUGGUAAACUCCAUCUAAGGCUAAAUAUGACCACGAGACCGAUAGCGAACAAGUACCGUGAGGGAAAGUUGAAAAGAACUUUGAAGAGAGAGUUCAAUAGUACGUGAAACCUCUCGGGGGUAAGCGGGCAGAACUUGCAAGUAUUGGCGAGAAUAUUCAGGCUUAUUAUGUUGGCAACUGAGGGUGCUUUAUUAUGUUGUCCGUUUCGGCGGAUUGGCUGGUGUGUGCCCUUUGGUUUGUUGAUGAUGCGCCGCAUUUAUUCUCGUCAUCGGGUUGCAUGUGACUGAGGUUUUUGGUAGUUUAGGUGCUGAGGAUCUGCGAAGCCUUGUUGUUUCGAGUCUUGGUUUCCAACUACUACUGCGGUCAUUACACAUGAAUGAGCAGGCGUUUAGGCGCGGUCAAAGGCUUGUACGAGUUGUGUGCGUAUGAUGUGUGGACGGUUUUACCGUAGCAUGUUGUACGAGGCUGAUUGUCGGUACGAGUAAUAUUUGGCUCUGUUCAGUGGAUUGCAAUCUAAUGCAUGCGUGGUCUGCCUGU
rnacentral:rRNA from 1 species